AUUGAACGCUGGCGGAAUGCUUUACACAUGCAAGCCGAACGGCAGCACGGACUUCGGUCUGGUGGCGAGUGGCGAACGGGUGAGUAAUACAUCGGAACGUGCCCAAUCGUGGGGGAUAACAUAGCGAAAGCUACGCUAAUACCGCAUACGAUCUAAGGAUGAAAGCGGGGGAUCGCAAGACCUCGCGCGAAUGGAGCGGCCGGGGGCAGAUUAGGUAGUUGGUAGGGUAAAGGCCUACCAAGCCGACGAUCUGUAGCUGGUCUGAGAGGAUGAUCAGCCACACUGGGACUGAGACACGGCCCAGACUCCUACGGGAGGCAGCAGUGGGGAAUUUUGGACAAUGGACGCAAGUCUGAUCCAGCCAUUCCGCGUGCAGGAUGAAGGCCCUCGGGUUGUAAACUGCUUUUGUACAGAACGAAAAGGCUCUGGUUAAUACCUGGGGCUCAUGACGGUACUGUAAGAAUAAGCACCGGCUAACUACGUGCCAGCCGCCGCAGUAAGAC
rnacentral:rRNA from 1 species